rnacentral:lncRNA from 1 species
AGGAGAGAAAAUAGCUUGACACCUCCUGCGGCCCAUGGAGUCCUCCCGUUGGGACAAGGACCCCCCAGGAGAGAGAAGACCCCAGCAGAGUCAACACUGGAGGGCCAGGGACCAUGGUGCCCGGGGCUGUGGACCACGCCAGCCCACAGCCACUGCAAGCCCCAGACCGGGGCUGUGGAUAACGCCAGCCCACGGCAGCCACACGCCCCAGACCAACACGAGAAGAACGCAGGCCGACAACAUCUUCAUCUAUGACCCUGUCCUCACCUGCAUCACACCAAUGAUGGCGUCACAGCGUGGGUUCCGGUCACCAGUCGGCCUCCCCCACCAACGUGGACUCCUUACAAGCAGAGCCACCAACGUGGACACGAUCCCAUCAGGAACCACCUACUUUUGCAUCCCCAGCACUGUGCUCAGGUCCCAGGGAGGCCCCAGCAAACUGUGGAACAACCAAACUCGUGACUGAAUGAACAAGUAUGUUAAGUCGUUAAGUAAAAAUAGCAGAAGACUUAGUAGAAUGUAUGAGUAACAAUUACAAUUAUAUGAAAAUCCGUAU